rnacentral:rRNA from 1 species
AGGGAAACCGAGUCUUAACUGGGCGUUAAGUUGCAGGGUAUAGACCCGAAACCCGGUGAUCUAGCCAUGGGCAGGUUGAAGGUUGGGUAACACUAACUGGAGGACCGAACCGACUAAUGUUGAAAAAUUAGCGGAUGACUUGUGGCUGGGGGUGAAAGGCCAAUCAAACCGGGAGAUAGCUGGUUCUCCCCGAAAGCUAUUUAGGUAGCGCCUCGUGAACUCAUCUUCGGGGGUAGAGCACUGUUUCGGCUAGGGGGUCAUCCCGACUUACCAACCCGAUGCAAACUGCGAAUACCGAAGAAUGUUAUCACGGGAGACACACGGCGGGUGCUAACGUCCGUCGUGAAGAGGGAAACAACCCAGACCGCCAGCUAAGGUCCCAAAGUCACAGUUAAGUGGGAAACGAUGUGGGAAGGCUCAGACAGCCAGGAUGUUGGCUUAGAAGCAGCCAUCAUUUAAAGAAAGCGUAAUAGCUCACUGGUCGAGUCGGCCUGCGCGGAAGAUGUAACGGGGCUAAACUGUGCACCGAAGCUGCGGCAGCGACGCUUAUGCGUUGUUGGGUAGGGGAGCGUUCUGUAAGCCUGCGAAGGUGUCCUGUGAGGGAUGCUGGAGGUAUCAGAAGUGCGAAUGCUGACAUAAGUAACGAUAAUGCGGGUGAAAAGCCCGCUCGCCGGAAGACCAAGGGUUCCUGUCCAACGUUAAUCGGGGCAGGGUGAGUCGACCCCUAAGGCGAGGCCGAAAGGCGUAGUCGAUGGGAAACGGGUUAAUAUUCCCGUACUUGGUGUUACUGCGAAGGGGGGACGGAGAAGGCUAUGUUGGCCGGGCGACGGUUGUCCCGGUUUAAGCGUGUAGGCUGGUUUUCCAGGCAAAUCCGGAAAAUCAAGGCUGAGGCGUGAUGACGAGGCACUACGGUGCUGAAGCAACA